UACGUAGGGUGCAAGCGUUAAUCGGAAUUACUGGGCGUAAAGCGUGCGCAGGCGGUGAUGUAAGACAGGUGUGAAAUCCCCGGGCUUAACCUGGGAACUGCAUUUGUGACUGCAUCGCUGGAGUGCGGCAGAGGGGGGUGGAAUUCCGCGUGUAGCAGUGAAAUGCGUAGAGAUGCGGAGGAACACCGAUGGCGAAGGCAGCCCCCUGGGCUAGCACUGACGCUCAGGCACGAAAGCGUGGGGAGCAAACAGG
rnacentral:rRNA from 1 species